UAACAACACGGAAGGCCUCUGUUGAGCCAGUGUUUGGUUUGUCCAUUCUGGGCCACCAUAGAAACAUGGUGGACCAAUAUGGAGGACCUGCUCCUGAUGUAGAAAUAAAAGGCUCAUUCUAAGUCCUCUCAUGCGGCUGUUCCCCGUCACCACCCAGUCUGCACAGACUCAUUGGAUUCUUCUCUCCAUCAACUCAGCAAGUCAUCCACCACCAUCGCCACCAGUGUCUGGACUUCAUGGGGGGGAUUUACUAUGCCGCUGCUGAGGACCGAUGCCCUCUGCUACAAUAUCUCCCCAUGGAGUCUCAGCGCCAAAGACUCUUAUCAAUACUUUGUCAUCACAUAUCAUUCUGUUAAAUCUGUAAUACAUAUCUUUUCUGAUUCA